UGAUUCUGCGCCGAAAAUUUCCGGGGCUAAAACGUACUACCGAAGCUACGGCAUCAUUUAUGAUGGGUAGGGGAGCUUCGUAUGCAGGCUGAAGCAUGACCGUAAGGACAUGUGGACAGUAUACGAGUGAGAAUGUUGGCAUGAGUAGCGAGACGUGGGUGAGAAUCCCACGGGCCGUAAACCCAAGGUUUCCAGGGGAAGGUUCGUCCGCCCUGGGUAAGUCGGGACCUAAGCCGAGGCCGAAAGGCGUAGGUGAUGGACAACAGGUUGAUAUUCCUGUACCGCCAAUAAGCGUUUGAGAGAUGGAGUGACACAGUAGGAUAAGCUAACCGUACUGUUGGUUAUGUACGGCUAAGCAUUGAGGCAGUCUAAAUAGGCAAAUCCGUUUAGACAAUGCUAGGAUGUGAUGGGGAAGCCCUUCGGGGCGAAGUAGCUGAUUUCACACUGUCAAGAAAAGCUUCUAUCGAGUUUAAAGGCGCCCGUACCGUAAACCGACACAGGUGGGUGAGGAGAGUAUCCUAAGGCCAGCGAGAGAACUAUUGUUAAGGAACUCGGCAAAAUGACCCCGUAACUUAGGGAGAAGGGGUGCCUGUCUAUGACAGGCCGCAGAGAAUAGGCCCAAGCGACUGUUUACCAAAAACACAGGUUUCUGCUAAGUCGCAAGACGAUGUAUAGGAGCUGACGCCUGCCCGGUGCUGGAAGGUUAAGGGGAUCUGUUAGAGCAAUCGAAGCAGUGAACUUAAGCCCCAGUAAACGGCGGCCGUAACUAUAACGGUCCUAAGGUAGCGAAAUUCCUUGUCGGGUAAGUUCCGACCCGCACGAAAGGCGUAACGAUUUGGGCACUGUCUCAACAAUAGACUCGGUGAAAUUGUAAUCCCGGUGAAGAUGCCGGGUACCUGCGACAGGACGGAAAGACCCCAUGGAGCUUUACUGUAGCUUGACGUUGGGUCUUGGUACUACAUGUACAGGAUAGGUGGGAGACUAUGAAGCAUGGACGCCAGUCUGUGUGGAGUCAUCCUUGGGAUACCACCCUUGUAGUACUGGGAUCCUAACCAUAGGCCUUGAAUCAGGUCUUGGAACACCGUCAGGUGGGCAGUUUGACUGGGGCGGUCGCCUCCUAAAAAGUAACGGAGGCGCUCAAAGGUUUCCUCAGCACGGUCGGAAAUCGUGCGAAGAGUGUAAAGGCAAAAGGAAGCUUGAUUGCAAGACAUACAGGUCGAGCAAGGACGAAAGUCGGACUUAGUGAUCCGGUGGUACCGCAUGGAAGGGCCAUCGCUCAACGGAUAAAAGCUACCCUGGGGAUAACAGGCUUAUCUCCCCCAAGAGUUCACAUCGACGGGGAGGUUUGGCACCUCGAUGUCGGCUCAUCACAUCCUGGGGCUGUAUUCGGUCCCAAGGGUUCGGCUGUUCGCCGAUUAAAGUGGCACGCGAGCUGGGUUCAGAACGUCGUGAGACAGUUCGGUCCCUAUCUGUUGUGGGCGCAGGAUAUUUGAGGAGCUCUGACUCUAGUACGAGAGGACCGGGUUGGACAUACCUCUGGUGAAUCAGUUGUGUCGCCAGAUGCACUGCUGAGUAGCUAUGUAUGGAUUGGAUAAGCGCUGAAAGCAUCUAAGCGCGAAGCCAGCUUCAAGAUGAGAUAUCCUUACAGGGUCGUUCGAGAUGAGAACGUUGAUAGGUUGCAGGUGUAUAGUCGGUGACGGCACAGCCGAGCAAUACUAAUUACCCGAAUGUUUACUUU
rnacentral:rRNA from 1 species